rnacentral:lncRNA from 1 species
AAAAAUCUGGGUAGUUCAGAACAGCUGAAUCUAUCAAACAAUGCUUUAACUGAUCAAAAGCAAUCUGACAUGUUUCAUCCCAAAGAAAUCUGCUAUUCUUUUUGGUCAAAUUAAAAAGAGGAGCAGCAAUUUUUGAAAAAUCUUUAAUAAAUCUCCUGUAAUAUGAUGCCAACCCCAAAAAUGACCGGACUUCCUUCAAUCUCUUUGGUACAGGCCAAUCCUGUACUUUAGCUACCUUUUUAGGGUCACACUUUAUCCCAUCCCGAGAAACAUAAUGUCCCAAAUAUUUAACCUCGGACUGAAACAAGUGACACUUUUGAGGUUUUAAUUUGAGACCAGCCUUUUGAAAUUUAUCAAAUACCCUAUCUAAAUCCUGAACAUGUUUAUCAAAUGAUUUUGAAAAAAUAAUGACAUCGUCCAGGUAGAUUAGGCAAAUGUCCCACUGUAAACCCGC